CGGAGGGUGCAAGCGUUGCUCGGAAUCACUGGGCGUAAAGGGUGCGUAGGCGGUCUCGCAAGUCUGGCGUGAAAGCCCAAGGCUCAGCCUUGGAAGUGCGCUCGAAACGGCGAGGCUGGAGUGCCGGAGGGGAGAGUGGAAUUCCCGGUGUAGCGGUGAAAUGCGUAGAGAUCGGGAGGAAUACCGGUGGCGAAAGCGACUCUCUGGACGGCAACUGACGCUGAGGCACGAAAGCGUGGGGAGCAAACAGGAUUAGAUACCCUGGUAGUCCACGCCGUAAACGAUGGACACUAGGUGUCGGGGGGUAUCCGACUCCCUCGGUCGCCGCCGCUAACGCAGUAAGUGUCCCGCCUGGGAAGUACGGUCGCAAGAUUA
rnacentral:rRNA from 1 species